rfam:Drosophila busckii chromosome X sequence.
CCAGUCAAUGUCAAAGUGUUGCCUCGCUGCCUUACUACAAAGUUAAUUGCGCUGCACGCGCACGCCAAAAGCCC